GUGGGGAAUAUUGGGCAAUGGGCGCAAGCCUGACCCAGCAACGCCGCGUGAAGGAAGAAGGCUUUCGGGUUGUAAACUUCUUUUAUCAGGGACGAAACAAAUGACGGUACCUGAUGAAUAAGCCACGGCUAACUACGUGCCAGCAGCCGCGGUAAUACGUAGGUGGCAAGCGUUAUCCGGAUUUACUGGGUGUAAAGGGCGUGUAGGCGGGACUGCAAGUCAGAUGUGAAAACUAUGGGCUCAACCCAUAGCCUGCAUUUGAAACUGUGGUUCUUGAGUGAUGGAGAGGCAAACGGAAUUCCGUGUGUAGCGGUGAAAUGCGUAGAUAUACGGAGGAACACCAGUGGCGAAGGCGGUUUGCUGGACAUUAACUGACGCUGAGGCGCGAAAGCGUGGGGAGCAAACAGGAUUAGAUACCCCAGUAGUCC
rnacentral:rRNA from 1 species